rnacentral:rRNA from 1 species
AUUGAACGCUGGCGGCAUGCCUUACACAUGCAAGUCGAACGGCAGCACGGGGGCAACCCUGGUGGCGAGUGGCGAACGGGUGAGUAAUGCAUCGGAACGUGCCCAGUAGUGGGGGAUAACUAGUCGAAAGAUUAGCUAAUACCGCAUACGACCUAUGGGUGAAAGCGGGGGACCUUUACCGGCCUCGCGCUAUCGGAGCGGCCGAUGUCUGAUUAGCCAGUUGGCGGGGUAAAAGCCCACCAAGGCGACGAUCAGUAGCUGGUCUGAGAGGACGACCAGCCACACUGGGACUGAGACACGGCCCAGACUCCUACGGGAGGCAGCAGUGGGGAAUUUUGGACAAUGGGCGCAAGCCUGAUCCAGCCAUGCCGCGUGCGGGAAGAAGGCCUUCGGGUUGUAAACCGCUUUUGGCAGGAACGAAACGGCGCGAGCGAAUAUCUCGCGUUAAUGACGGUACCUGCAGAAUAAGCACCGGCUAACUACGUGCCAGCAGCCGCGGUAAUACGUAGGGUGCAAGCGUUAAUCGGAAUUACUGGGCGUAAAGCGUACGCAGGCGGCUUUGCAAGACAGGUGUGAAAUCCCCGGGCCUAACCUGGGAACUGCAUUUGUGACUGCAUGGCUAGAGUUUGUCAGAGGGGGGUGGAAUUCCACGUGUAGCAGUGAAAUGCGUAGAUAUGUGGAGGAACACCGAUGGCGAAGGCAGCCCCCUGGGAUGUGACUGACGCUCAUGUACGAAAGCGUGGGGAGCAAACAGGAUUAGAUACCCUGGUAGUCCACGCCCUAAACGAUGUCGACUAGUUGUCGGAGGGUAACUCCCUCGGUAACGCAGCUAACGCGUGAAGUCGACCGCCUGGGGAGUACGGUCGCAAGAUUAAAACUCAAAGGAAUUGACGGGGACCCGCACAAGCGGUGGAUGAUGUGGAUUAAUUCGAUGCAACGCGAAAAACCUUACCUACCCUUGACAUGCCACUAACGAAGCAGAGAUGCAUUAGGUGCCCGAAAGGGAAAGUGGACACAGGUGCUGCAUGGCUGUCGUCAGCUCGUGUCGU